UAUAUUUACAUUAUAUUAUUGCAAAACUGUGCACGUGGAGGGAGGCUGCAUGUGCAUGUAGAGGAAGACAUUGGAUGUUCUUCUCUAUGACUCUUUACCUUAUCCCAUGGAGACAAAGUCUCUAACUAAAACUGGAGUUAGGCUUGCAGCCAGCAAGCCCCAGGGAUUCUCCUGUCUGCACCCCCAAGAGCACUUGAGUAACAGCAGUGCAUGGCCACACCCAACUUUUAGCAUGGGAGCCUGUGUCUGAUCUCAGACAGAUCCUUUUGCUUGCAGAGAAAGUGCUCUAACCUAGAGAGCUGUCCCUCCUGCCCAUUGUUAGUGUUUGACAGAAUUCUUCUCCAAGUUUCUAUGUGCUUUCAAUUAUUCUUUUAGUGCCUUGCUAGUGGUGCCAUCCACCUGCAAUCUCAGCACUUGGAAAGGAGAAUCAGGAAUUACUUCGAGCCACCUGAGAACCCAUCUGAAAAAAGAAGGGUGGGGAAGAAAGCAAAGAAAGAAAGAAAAACCAUUUCAACUAAAGUAUGUAGUUAUAGUCAGCAUACUGUUUUUCAUCAUAUAGGAUUCAUUUUAUUUGUGGGGCGAUGGGGCCUGGAGAUCCAACCCAAGGCCAUCAUGCAUAUUUAAGCGAGUAUUCUAGUCCUGAGCUCCAUCCCUCACCAACCUGAACUCGCCUUUUGACAAAGGGCUUACAGCUUUCCCUGGAACCCACAGAGAUCUGCCUGCCUCAGCCUACCAUGUGCUGGGAUUAAAGGUAUGUAGCACCACGUCCAGCAAGUCUACUUACUAUCUUUUCUAGGUCCCUCACUUUCAGACCAUACUUGUAGCAUUCCUUUCUUACCUUUCAGCCACUUCGUUUAAUAAACUUAAUGGGUUGUAAUGUUUCUUUUUAGGUUUUACGUAUCACCAGACAGCUACAAUGCACGUAACACUGCAAUUCACAGAAUGUGUACUUCUCAAGUACAGACCACCCCUUUCCAUUAUGGAAAUACAUAGCAAAAAGUAUGUCCUUCUUGUGACAGAAAAUUAAAAUGCCAGCUACUCUCUGUCCUUGCAACCCUGCAGAGACCCACUGAGACCAGGGAGCAUGUGGCAUGGGCAUCCCUGCAUGAAGGCCCUGAGAGGGCAGACGCCAUGAGAGGCCAUUGUAUGAAGCUGUGAAAGUGAAGCCUGGUUUGCAAUGGAGACACCAAGAUAGAGAUGCCAGGACUGUGAAGCAUUUCGGGAGUGCAAGCAGUUCUCGAGAAAAUUAUGUUAGAAGCUGUAAGGGUAGAGCCAUCUAAGUGCUUUAAAACUAAAAUCCCAGAUACCACACAUGAAGGUACAGGACUUGAUAUUUGCAUGGCUGUUUUAGUUUUUGCUUUGAUCCAGUAUUCUCUUAUUAUGCUGCCAUUCAUCCUUUUUGGAAUGUUAUUGUAUAUUUUGUGUCAUAGUAUAUUGGAAGUAAGUAAUUCCCUCUUUCCUUCUUUUUCUUUUUUCUUUUUUCCUUUUUCUUUUUCUUUUUCUUUUUUUUUUUUUGGUUUUACAGGGUGUUACACUUAAAAGAUUAUCUUGAGUCUCAGAAGAGAAUUUGGGUUUUUGGAAAAUAUUGAGAUUGUAAAGGACUAUGGGGGUUUUUAAGGUUGGAUUAAAUGCAAUUUGCAUUAUGAUACGAUCAUAAUCCUGUGGAAGCCAGGGAGGAGAAUGUGAUAGACUGAAUGAAAAUGUCUCCCAUUGGCUCAGUUAUUUGAACAUUUUGUCAUAGGUUGUUGUUAGUGUUUGGGGAAGGUUACAGGAAGGUACAGUCUUUAUGGAGGAAAGCAUCACUGGGGUGGGUGUGGUAGUAUGUUUGUAUGCUGUGUGAAGAUGUAUUGCUGUGCUUGGUGUAAUAAAAACUGAAUGGCCAAUAGCUGGGCAGGAGGCGGGACUUCAAGGCAGAGAGAGAAAUCUGGGAAGAAGAAGGAGUUGCUAGCCAGACACAGAGGAAGAAGAACAUGCAGAAGGAGAGAUAAAAGCCACAAGUCACAUUGCAGCAUGUAGAUUGAUAGAAAUAGGUUAAUUCAAGUUGUAAGAGCUAGUUAGAAACAAACCUAAGCUAAGGCCGAGCUUUCAUAAUUAAGAAGUCUCUGUGUCAUUGUUUGAGAACUGGCUUGCAGGACAGAGAAAGACUCAUUACAGGUGGUCUUCAAGAGUUCAUAUCCUGGUCCCAUUUCCAGUUUCACUCUUCUGCUUUUUUGUGGUUGAAGAUGUGACCUUUCAGCUUCCUGCUCCUGUUGCUAUGCCUGCAACUUGCUGCCAUGUCUUCCUGCCAUGACUGAUUUUUAUCCCAUUAGAACCGUAAACUGAAAUAAACUUCUUCCUUAAAUU